rnacentral:rRNA from 1 species
UGCCGGCGAGUGGCGAACGGGUGAGUAAUGCAUCGGAACGUACCCAGUGGUGGGGGAUAGCUCGGCGAAAGCCGGAUUAAUACCGCAUACGCCCUGAGGGGGAAAGUGGGGGAUCUUCGGACCUCACGCCAUUGGAGCGGCCGAUGUCGGAUUAGCUAGUUGGUGAGGUAAAGGCUCACCAAGGCGACGAUCCGUAGCUGGUCUGAGAGGAUGAUCAGCCACACUGGGACUGAGACGCGGCCCAGACUCCUACGGGAGGCAGCAGUGGGGAAUUUUGGACAAUGGGCGCAAGCCUGAUCCAGCCAUGCCGCGUGAGUGAAGAAGGCCUUCGGGUUGUAAAGCUCUUUCGGCCGGGAAGAAAUCGUGGUGGCGAAUACCUGCCAUGGAUGACGGUACCGGACUAAGAAGCACCGGCUAACUACGUGCCAGCAGCCGCGGUAAUACGUAGGGUGCGAGCGUUAAUCGGAAUUACUGGGCGUAAAGCGUGCGCAGGCGGUUGUGUAAGACAGGCGUGAAAUCCCCGGGCUCAACCUGGGAACUGCGCUUGUGUCUGCACGGCUAGAGUACGGCAGAGGGGGGUGGAAUUCCACGUGUAGCAGUGAAAUGCGUAGAGAUGUGGAGGAACACCGAUGGCGAAGGCAGCCCCCUGGGUCGAUACUGACGCUCAUGCACGAAAGCGUGGGGAGCAAACAGGAUUAGAUACCCUGGUAGUCCACGCCCUAAACGAUGUCGACUAGUUGUUGGAGGGGUAAAACCCUUUAGUAACGUAGCUAACGCGUGAAGUCGACCGCCUGGGGAGU